rnacentral:rRNA from 1 species
CUACGGGGGGCAGCAGUAAGGAAUAUUGGUCAAUGGACACAAGUCUGAACCAGCCAUGCCGCGUGAAGGAUGAAGGUCCUCUGGAUUGUAAACUUCUUUUAUAGGGGGCGAAAAAAGGGAAAUCUUUCUCACCUGACAGUACCCUAUGAAUAAGCACCGGCUAACUCCGUGCCAGCAGCCGCGGUAAUACGGAGGGUGCAAGCGUUAUCCGGAUUCACUGGGUUUAAAGGGUGCGUAGGCGGGCGUAUAAGUCAGUGGUGAAAUCCUGGAGCUUAACUCCAGAACUGCCAUUGAUACUAUAUGUCUUGAAUAUGGUGGAGGUAAGCGGAAUAUGUCAUGUAGCGGUGAAAUGCAUAGAUAUGACAUAGAACACCUAUUGCGAAGGCAGCUUACUACGCCUAUAUUGACGCUGAGGCACGAAAGCGUGGGGAUCAAACAGGAUUAGAUACCCCCGUAGUC